AUCUCUGAGACCCUAGUCUACUGUCUUUCAGGUGUUGGCCUCAUAGAGAUGCAUUCCCUUCUGGCCUCACCACCAACCGUCUGUUUGCCUUUGAUCCACGAGGUAAAGAAUCAGGUUGGUCUCAUUCACAGCUGUAUCCCCUGCACUCGGCCUGACACAGUAUAGGUGACUGGAUAUUCCUGAAUGAAUGAGCGAAUAGGGUUGAAAAAACAGAACCUACAGGCCAAGAUGGAGUCACCGGCCCCCAGGACAGCACACCAAGACCUAACCGCACUUUCAGCUUCUCCAGGAGUGGAACUUUAAACCAAUCGAUUUGGAAUUUUCUGAACUGACCACAUUGGUCUACCAGAUGGGAGUUACGUUUCCUGAUACAAAAAUUAAGUCCCAUCCUGGCUUUAUUCUCUAGAUGCAUUUUACCCCAGAUUCUCUGGAGUUUCUCAGAUGGAAACGUCUACCCACUGCAUACAUUUAUUACCCUGGUGCCAUUAACAAGAGCCUCCUGAAGACAAGUACAAUGUGUAUCCUAGCACCGAGCUCAGCACCAGCAUACCCAUUCUCAUCUGGAUGGAUUCCUCAGGGUGAUCUGCGUGCCUCCCGUCCCACUGGCCACCAAGGCCUGUAGUUUCUGCCUUUACAGAGUUUCCAUGUUUCCUGAGAUCAGCAGGACCUCAAGGCUCUUCACCAUGUUGUCCCACUGGCUCCCAGCUGUAAUUUUCAAAAGAGACACAUUCUUUCCAGGGCCAGCUCUAUGUAUUCUUCUAACCAACUUUAACGAACAAAGUACACCAAACUCCUAUCAUGUUCACUAUGCAGCAUAAAUGUUGAUAUUGUUCCUUGUAUGAUUUUAAAACAAGUCUCCAGACUGGAGCCAGUCACAAUUAAAAAUCCAUUUUCUGUGGGCUGUGGAUAGAUCUGCCUUUAAUAAAUAUCUGUACACAUAUUCAGAUUAAAAACUAGC